UACGAAGGGGGCUAGCGUUGCUCGGAAUCACUGGGCGUAAAGCGCACGUAGGCGGAUUGCUAAGUCAGGGGUGAAAUCCUGGAGCUCAACUCCAGAACUGCCUUUGAUACUGGCAAUCUCGAGUCCGGGAGAGGUGAGUGGAACUGGCGAGUGUAGAGGUGAAAUUCGUAGAUAUUCGCAAGAACACCAGUGGCGAAGGCGGCUCACUGGCCCGGUACUGACGCUGAGGUGCGAAAGCGUGGG
rnacentral:rRNA from 1 species